rnacentral:misc_RNA from 4 species
CAACCCUCAAGCCCCAGCGGCCUGGUGUUGGGGACCGGCGACCUCGCCCGAGCCCGCCCUCCGGGGCGCGUGCCCGGUGCGUCCGCCGCCCCCGAAAUGAAUUGGCGGCCUCGUCGCGGCCUCCUCUGCGUAGUAGCACAACCUCGCAAGCGGGAGCGCGACGCGGCCACUGCCGUAAAACGCCCAACUUUUUUAG